AACGAACGCUGGCGGCAUGCCUAACACAUGCAAGUCGAACGAGACCUUCGGGUCUAGUGGCGCACGGGUGCGUAACGCGUGGGAACCUGCCCUUAGGUUCGGAAUAACUCCCCGAAAGGGGUGCUAAUACCGGAUAAUGUCUUCGGACCAAAGAGUUAUCGCCUUUGGAUGGGCCCGCGUUGGAUUAGCUAGUUGGUAGGGUAAAAGCCUACCAAGGCGACGAUCCAUAGCUGGUGUGAGAGGAUGCUCAGCCACACUGGGACUGAGACACGGCCCAGACUCCUACGCGAGGGAGCAGUGGGGAAUACUGGACAAUGGGCGAAAGCCUGAUCCAGCAAUGCCGCGUGAGUGAUGAAGGCCUUAGGGUUGUAAAGCUCUUUUACCCGGGAUGAUAAUGACAGUACCGGGAGAAUAAGCUCCGGCUAACUCCGUG
rnacentral:rRNA from 1 species